AGAACAAUAGACGAACAGGUACACGAAAGUUACAAAACACGUCACACGAACCAAAAACGUUAGAAAAUCGUAAUCCGUAAUCCGUAAUCGUAUAUCGUAAUCGUAUAUCGUAAUCGUAUAUCGUAAUCGUAUAUCGUAAUCGUAAUCGUACUCGUACUCGCUUCGUGACUCGUUACACCCACUCCGCGCCGCAGUCGCGUCCUUAUAUUCACGCGGCAACCCCACAACAUUCUCGACUUCUGAUUUUCGAACCCUUCGCGAGUUUUCGAUGUUCGCGAGUAUUCGACGUUCGUUAAAAUUGUGACCGUUCUCUAACGUUCGUUCGCUUGCCGCUUCGUCAACAUUCACUUAUACAUACACACAUACACGCUGGGUCGAAGUGCUCGUCGGUAACGGCUUCGCCGGAUCAGCUGUUUAGCCGCGCGGUGGUAUUAUUGUUGUAUUCGAGAUCUUUCCAGCCUAUUCGCGGCGCGGCGGUUACAGCUCUACUCCUACAAUAUUGACUGAAGGAUGGGCUGAAGGAUGGGCUGAAGGAUAGAAGAUGUGUUAGAAAACAUGUACUUACGAUAUGUUUCGGAGAACGAAUCUAUUGAAGAUAAACUAUAGAAGAUUAGCUUGAGAAGCUUAAAGACUAUCUACCAUCAAAACGGCCACGCAGAAACAGAGCGAAACAACGACCAGGCGAUUCUUGUGAACAGCUUGGAGAAGCUCGCUUAAAUUAGAGGGACAGAAAAUGAAUACAAUGAGCAGAAACGGAAUAGACGUAGUCCAUUGAACAUCGAGGGUCGAGGCGCAGUAUUUCAAACUAAGGACAUUGAGGAACGUUAAAUAUACACACGCAAUGGAGAAAAUUUCAAUUGUAACAUUACUUACAGAAUGAAACAAAUUGAUGGGAUUCUUCCAUACGUGCUCUGUUUUCACGUGGCUGCUUAUACAGAUCGUUCUUAUGGACUGGAGUAAAUCACAGCAAACUGCCACCAUCUUCUGAACUCGCUACGGUGUAUUUUGAACCAUUAAAAUAAAAUCCGUAUUAGGAGAGAAGUUCGUUGAAGCAGUGAAGGAACAAGAAGAAAAUUUGUCAAACAAGAUUUUCCUUAGAAGGUUUUCUCCUGGGCCCACGGUUCAAAGUAAUUUUAAAUCACCAACAACCGAUCGAACAUUUAUUGUACCGAUCACACAUCUGGGAAUAUCAAAAAGAAGUACUAAAAACACAUGAUGAAUUCGAGGACCACUGUGCGCCAUCUAACUGUAAUAAAAAUUCGGAUAAAACUGAACUGAAGGAUGUAAAAAAGAUAUUAAGAGAAUGUUAAUCUUAAUAGUUAGCCAAUCGAAUAGGGAGAUCUCUCACUUUUCCCUUAGCAACGUAUUGUCAUUUAUUUUGUUCAUUUUUUUCUUUUGUUAUUUAGUAAGUCUUGUACUGGAGAUAUUGGCAGCUCAAUAAAUACCUUCCUUACUGUUGCAAAACACAGUUUUUAAUCAAAUUUGUUUAAUAAAUUAAGUCAAUGUUAAUAAAAAAGGUUAUACUUAUGGCUUUUUUAAGCAAUUGCCUAAGUGUUAAUGAUGCAACGCACACAUUAGAAAUUAUAACAAUGUUACUAAAAUUUAUAAAAUAACGCGUAUAGAAUGUAAGGAAAAUGUUUUAAAAUUUUGACUGAAAUAUAAAAUAAAUUAUUCAGAAUUGUAUACAUAGCUCCACUAAUACUAAUAAUGCUAAUAACUAAUAAUACUGCAUAAAUGAAACUUGAGUAUACAUAUUGUAAGAACCAUUAUUAAUAAAUGUUGGUAAAGGCGAAAAAUUUUGGUUGAACUUCAUUCGGAGCACCAUUAUUUUUAAACUUUACGUAUAUAUCUAUAGUAAUACUUGAUGAAGGAAGACUAACUUUUAAAUUUCAGAUUUAGGAAUUAGAAAUUUAUAGAUAUGUUCAUUUGCAUAUAAUUUAAUGUAAUGCUAGAAGAAGAUUUUUGUGAUUAUUUGCAAAUUAAAUUAUAUGCAAAUGAACAUGUCUAUACAAUUUAUAAAAAUUCCACUAGGUUGAAUCCAACGGUUUUUUAUGAAAACUGAAAGAGUUCUAAGUUCUUGUUACUUAUUUUUUCGGAUUGUCAAAAAAUAGAAUUUUUAAGAAUUCCAAAGUAAAAACGUGGGCGAAGCCUUUCUGCCUGCA